UACGUAGGCACCAAGCGUUGUUCGGAAUUACUGGGCGUAAAGCGAGUGUAGGCGGUCUGCCAAGUCGGUUGUGAAAUCUCCCGGCUUAACUGGGAGGGUGCGACUGAAACUGGCAGGCUAGAGUGCGGGAGAGGAGAGUGGAAUUCCUGGUGUAGCGGUGAAAUGCGUAGAUAUCAGGAGGAACACCGGUGGUGAAGACGGCUCUCUGGACCGCUACUGACGCUGAGACUCGAAAGCGUGGGGAGCAAAC
rnacentral:rRNA from 1 species